rnacentral:rRNA from 1 species
AAUCAACGCUGGCGGCGUGCCUCAGACAUGCAAGUCGAACGAUGAAGACUUCCUUCGGGAAGUGCAUAAAGUGGCGCACGGGUGAGUAACACGUAAGGAAUCUACCCUCGAGUGGGGAAUAACAGUCGGAAACGACUGCUAAUACCGCAUAAUGCAGCGGCACCGCAAGGUGACAGUUGUUACAGGAGCAAUCCGCUUGAGGAGGAGCUUGCGGCAGAUUAGCUAGUUGGUAAGGUAACGGCUUACCAAGGCUACGAUCUGUAUCCGGUCUAAGAGGACGGUCGGACACACUGACACUGAAUAACGGGUCAGACUCCUACGGGAGGCAGCAGUCGGGAAUUUUGGGCAAUGGGCGAAAGCCUGACCUAGCAACGCCGCGUGAAGGAUGAAGUAUUUCGGUAUGUAAACUUCGAAAGAAUAGGAAGAAUCAAUGACGGUACUAUUUAUAAGCUCCGGCUAACUACGUGCCAGCCGCCGCAGUAACAC